GGAGGUGUAGCUCAGUGGUUGAUCAUGGGCUUAGCUUGACUAAGGCCUGAGUUUGAUCCCCAGCAUGUCCC
rnacentral:tRNA from 1 species